rnacentral:lncRNA from 1 species
GCCUGGUUCCACACUACAGAGGCACAGGGGAUUAUAAAGGCCCUUGGCCUGAGCGCCACAAGAUAGAGCAGAAGUUAGUAACAGAAAGAGGGCUUCUCAGGCUCCUUGAUGAAAACUGAAGCUCAGCGGAAAAGUAAAGAGAAUCUCUACAAUAAAGACACACCAGACCACCCUACUUGGUAUAAUGAAAAUAAAAGAGCCUCAGAGUCAUUAGAGUCUCAAAACCAAAACACAAGCUAUAUCAGGAAGACACCUCUGAAAAGCAAUCAUUCCACAAGGGUUUUAAACAUAAGCAACAAAGAUACCUACAUUAAGCAAUUUUGAAAUAUCAACCCAGGAAUUCAACCAAGGACAGACAGUACCAAAAACAAAAAUGAGAAGACAUUUAAGCUAGACACAAACACAAGCUUCCACACCACAAAAGGGAAAUUCUGGGGGAAAUGAAGUGGAAAAGUCUGAUAAUCAACCACCUGGACACCCUGAACUGAUAGCACAGGAAGUAACAAAGCAGAUGCAUGAGGCUCUA